rnacentral:rRNA from 1 species
UACAGAGGUCUCAAGCGUUGUCCGGAAUCAUUGGGCGUAAAGCGCGUGUAGGCGGCCCGGUAAGUCCGCUGUGAAAGUCGGGGGCUCAACCCUCGGAUGCCGGGUGGAUACUGUCGGGCUAGAGUGCGGGAGAGGCGAGUGGAAUUCCUGGUGGUAGCGGUGGAAAUGCGCAGAUAUCAGGAGGAACACCAAUUGCGAAGGCAGCUCGCUGGAACGUAACUGACGCUGAGACGCGAAAGCGUGGGGAGCAAACAGG